GACGAACGCUGGCGGCGUGCUUAACACAUGCAAGUCGAACGGAAAGGCCCUGCUUUUGUGGGGUGCUCGAGUGGCGAACGGGUGAGUAACACGUGAGUAACCUGCCCUUGACUUUGGGAUAACUUCAGGAAACUGGGGCUAAUACCGGAUAGGAGCUCCUGCUGCAUGGUGGGGGUUGGAAAGUUUCGGCGGUUGGGGAUGGACUCGCGGCUUAUCAGCUUGUUGGUGGGGUAGUGGCUUACCAAGGCUUUGACGGGUAGCCCGCAUGAGAGGGUGACCGGCAUGAAUGGGACUGAGAUAAGGCCCAGACUCCUACGGGAGGCAGCAGUGGGGACUAUUGCACAAUGGGCGGAAGCCUGAUGGUGCAACGCCGCGUGUGUGAUGACGGCGUUCGGGUUGUAAACCGAUUUCGCCUGAGACGAAGCGUGUGUGACGGUAAUGGGUAAAGAAGCACCGGCUAACUACGUG
rnacentral:rRNA from 1 species